rnacentral:rRNA from 1 species
CGUAAACGAUGAGUGCUAAGUGUUGGAGGUUUCCCCUUCAGUGCUGCAGCAAACGCAUUAAGCACUCCGCUGGGGAGUACGACCGCAAGGUUGAAACUCAAAGGAAUUGACGGGGGCCCGCACAAGCGGUGGAGCAUGUGGUUUAAUUCGAAGCAACGCGAAGAACCUUACCAGGUCUUGACAUCCUUUGACCACUCUAGAGAUAGAGCUUUCCCUUCGGGGACAAAGUGACAGGUGGUGCAUGGUUGUCGUCAGCUCGUGUCGUGAGAUGUUGGGUUAAGUCCCGCAACGAGCGCAACCCUUAUUGUUAGUUGCCAUCAUUUAGUUGGGCACUCUAGCGAGACUGCCGGUGACAAACCGGAGGAAGGUGGGGAUGACGUCAAAUCAUCAUGCCCCUUAUGACCUGGGCUACACACGUGCUACAAUGGGAAGUACAACGAGUCGCUAGGCCGCGAGGUCAUGCAAAUCUCUUAAAGCUUCUCUCAGUUCGGAUUGUAGGCUGCAACUCGCCUACAUGAAGCCGGAAUCGCUAGUAAUCGCGGAUCAGCACGCCGCGGUGAAUACGUUCCCGGGCCUUGUACACACCGCCCGUCACACCACGAAAGUUUGUAACACCCGAAGUCGGUGAGGUAACCUUUUGGAGCCAGCCGCCUAAGGUGGGAUAGAUGAUUGGGGUGAAGUCGUAACAAGGUAACCA